AAACUCUGGUGGGGCGUGGCCAUUAGAAUUCAAGAUUCCAGAGCCUGAUGUCUGUGUUGACACAGCUUUAAUCCCUGCUUUUGGAAGCGGGGAAUUUGGGAGAUCGGAGUUCAAGGUCACCUUGAUCUAGGUUGGUAAGGCUUCUCAAAAAAGAUGCCUAGAGCUCGGCGUAGUGACUCAAGCAGACCUCUGUGAGUUCGAGGUGGCCCCUGUGUCUCCCAAAUAAACUUUCUGUGAGCCAGGCAUGAUGAUGCAGACCUGUAAUCCCAGCACAGAGAAGCUGAGGCAGGAGGAUGGUGAAUUCAAGGCCAGUCUGGGCUACAUAGUGAGUCUGAGGUGACCCCUGGAAAGACCCCAGUUCACACAGAUUGAGAACCGCUCCUCAUGAAGAUGAAAUUCCCAGCCUACCCACUCCUGGGACCAGCCAACUGAUGCACUUCUCAAAUGGUUGAUAAUUGUUUGGACACAGGUGGUGCGGGUCUUUGUGCAUAACCAGCCACCCUCUUUCUGAUGGACAUUCUUUACAUACUUGCAGUAAUACAUUGGGCCAAUCCCUUUAAAUGCUAACUACAAAAUCAGUAACAAAAUAAAAGCAGUUUUUCUGGA